GCGGUUAUACUUGUUCUUCAACUCAAAAGUUUAAAAUAAAAUAUACUAAGUUAUUUUGUCCAAUAAUAAAAUUAAAGGUUUAAUUUUAGAAAUUAUUGUUUAAAUUGGAUUAGUACCCAAGUAAUUAAAUUAAUUAAUUAAGGUAACACCUAAACUAAAUGGCCGUAUUAUCUUUUAAGCAGAGAAACUUGAAAUUUAGAAAAUCCACUUUAUUGUUAAUCUUAUAAAGGUUUAAGUAUGGCUGUCUAAAAAUAAAUUUAUAUUUAGAUUUAUAGUCAAGCAACAUUUAACUUAUAAGAAGAUUUUGAGUUGCAACAAAUAGAUUAUAAGAGGUUAUAAAAAUUAGGAUUUGCAAGUAAAAUAAUUUUUGAAAUAGUUUUAAGUACA
rnacentral:rRNA from 1 species